rnacentral:rRNA from 1 species
CGAAUGCUGACAUAAGUAACGAUAAAGCGGGUGAAAAGCCCGCUCGCCGGAAGACCAAGGGUUCCUGUCCAACGUUAAUCGGGGCAGGGUGAGUCGACCCCUAAGGCGAGGCCGAAAGGCGUAGUCGAUGGGAAACAGGUUAAUAUUCCUGUACUUGGUGUUACUGCGAAGGGGGGACGGAGAAGGCUAUGUUGGCCGGGCGACGGUUGUCCCGGUUUAAGCGUGUAGGCUGGUUUUCCAGGCAAAUCCGGAAAAUCAAGGCUGAGGCGUGAUGACGAGGCACUACGGUGCUGAAGCAACAAAUGCCCUGCUUCCAGGAAAAGCCUCUAAGCAUCAGGUAACAUCAAAUCGUACCCCAAACCGACACAGGUGGUCAGGUAGAGAAUACCAAGGCGCUUGAGAGAACUCGGGUGAAGGAACUAGGCAAAAUGGUGCCGUAACUUCGGGAGAAGGCACGCUGAUAUGUAGGUGAAGCGACUUGCUCGUGGAGCUGAAAUCAGUCGAAGAUACCAGCUGGCUGCAACUGUUUAUUAAAAACACAGCACUGUGCAAACACGAAAGUGGACGUAUACGGUGUGACGCCUGCCCGGUGCCGGAAGGUUAAUUGAUGGGGUUAGCGCAAGCGAAGCUCUUGAUCGAAGCCCCGGUAAACGGCGGCCGUAACUAUAACGGUCCUAAGGUAGCGAAAUUCCUUGUCGGGUAAGUUCCGACCUGCACGAAUGGCGUAAUGAUGGCCAGGCUGUCUCCACCCGAGACUCAGUGAAAUUGAACUCGCUGUGAAGAUGCAGUGUACCCGCGGCAAGACGGAAAGACCCCGUGAACCUUUACUAUAGCUUGACACUGAACAUUGAGCCUUGAUGUGUAGGAUAGGUGGGAGGCUUUGAAGUGUGGACGCCAGUCUGCAUGGAGCCGACCUUGAAAUACCACCCUUUAAUGUUUGAUGUUCUAACGUUGACCCGUGAUCCGGGUUGCGGACAGUGUCUGGUGGGUAGUUUGACUGGGGCGGUCUCCUCCUAAAGAGUAACGGAGGAGCACGAAGGUUGGCUAAUCCUGGUCGGACAUCAGGAGGUUAGUGCAAUGGCAUAAGCCAGCUUGACUGCGAGCGUGACGGCGCGAGCAGGUGCGAAAGCAGGUCAUAGUGAUCCGGUGGUUCUGAAUGGAAGGGCCAUCGCUCAACGGAUAAAAGGUACUCCGGGGAUAACAGGCUGAUACCGCCCAAGAGUUCAUAUCGACGGCGGUGUUUGGCACCUCGAUGUCGGCUCAUCACAUCCUGGGGCUGAAGUAGGUCCCAAGGGUAUGGCUGUUCGCCAUUUAAAGUGGUACGCGAGCUGGGUUUAGAACGUCGUGAGACAGUUCGGUCCCUAUCUGCCGUGGGCGCUGGAGAAUUGAGGGGGGCUGCUCCUAGUACGAGAGGACCGGAGUGGACGCAUCACUGGUGUUCGGGUUGUCAUGCCAAUGGCACUGCCCGGUAGCUAAAUGCGGAAGAGAUAAGUGCUGAAAGCAUCUAAGCACGAAACUUGCCCCGAGAUGAGUUCUCCCUGACUCCUUGAGAGUCCUGAAGGAACGUUGAAGACGACGACG